AUUGAACGCUGGCGGCAGGCCUAACACAUGCAAGUCGAACGGUAACAGGAAGAAGCUUGCUUCUUUGCUGACGAGUGGCGGACGGGUGAGUAAUGUCUGGGAAACUGCCUGAUGGAGGGGGAUAACUACUGGAAACGGUAGCUAAUACCGCAUAACGUCGCAAGACCAAAGAGGGGGACCUUCGGGCCUCUUGCCAUCGGAUGUGCCCAGAUGGGAUUAGCUAGUAGGUGGGGUAACGGCUCACCUAGGCGACGAUCCCUAGCUGGUCUGAGAGGAUGACCAGCCCACCGGGAACUGAGACCCGGCCCAGACUCCUACGGGAGGCAGCAGGGGGGAAUUUUGCACAGUGGGCGCAAGCCUGAUGCAGCCAUGCCGGGUGUAUGAAGAAGGCCUUCGGGUUGUAAAGUACUUUCAGGGGGGAGGAGGGGAGUAAAGUUAAUACCUUUGCCAAUUGACUUUCCCCGCAGAAGGAGCCCCGGCUAACCCCGU
rnacentral:rRNA from 1 species